rnacentral:rRNA from 1 species
GACGAACGCUGGCGGCGUGCUUAACACAUGCAAGUCGAACGGAAAGGCCCUGCUUUUGUGGGGUGCUCGAGUGGCGAACGGGUGAGUAACACGUGAGUAACCUGCCCUUUACUUUGGGAUAACUUCAGGAAACUGGGGCUAAUACCGGAUAGGAGCUCCUGCUGCAUGGUGGGGGUUGGUAAGUUUCGGCGUUUGGGGAUGGACUCGCGGCUUAUCAGCUUGUUGGUGUGGUAGUGGCUUACCAAGGCUUUGACGGGUAGCCGGCAUGAGAGGGUGACCGGACAAAAUGGGACUGAGAUACGGCCAAGAAGCCAAAGGGAGGCAGCAGUGGGGAAUAUUGCAAAAUGGGGGGAAGCCUGAUGAAGAAACGCCGCGUGCGGGAUGACGGCCUUCGGGUUGUAAACAGAUUUCGCCUGUGACGAAGCGUGAGUGACGGUAAUGGGUAAAGAAGCACCGGCUAACUACGUG